rnacentral:misc_RNA from 1 species
CAGGGGAAGAGGGAGAGUGAUAUUUGAUAAAUAAUGUAAUGAUAUAUUUUCCAAUUUCCAUGCUAGAAGAAAACAUAGAACAAAACGAAUAAUGUUGAACAUGAUAAGAAAAGCAGAGUCAUUAUUUGAAGAUGUUGAUGAAUUUGUAUUUUGAGUUUGCCCUUUAGGCUGGAUGAACUUGCUCUGCAUAUGGAGGCCAGUACAGGUGAAA